rnacentral:rRNA from 1 species
GAUGAACGCUGGCGGCGUGCCUAAUACAUGCAAGUCGAGCGAACAGAUGAUGAUCUUGCUCCUCUGACGUUAGCGGCGGACGUGUGUGUAACACGUGUAUAACCUACCUAUAAGACUGGUAUAACUUCGGGAAACCGGAUCUAAUACCGGAUAAUAUAUUGAACCGCAUGGUUCAAUAGUGAAAGACGGUUUUGCUGUCUCUUAUAGAUGGAUCCGCGCUGCAUUAGCUAGUUGGUAAGGUAACGGCUUACCAAGGCGACGAUGCGUAGCCGACCUGAGAGGGUGAUCGGCCACACUGGAACGGAGACACGGACAAGACGCCUACGGGAGGGAGCAGUAGGGAAUGUGCCGCAAUGGGCGAAAGCAUGACGGAGCAACGCGGCGUGAGAGAUGAAGGUGUUCGGAUCGUAAAACUCUGUUAUUAGGGAAGAACAAAUGUGUAAGUAAAUAAGCACGGAUUGACGGUAACUAAUCAGAAAGCAACGGCUAACUACGUG